rnacentral:lncRNA from 1 species
ACCCCAGCCCCGCCCGCGGCCGGCCGGCACCGCCUCCGGGGGAGCUAUUGUUCCUGCGGCCGGGCGGGAGCGCUCCGGGGGUCGCCCCUCUCCUCCGGCCGACGCCAAGCGCUCCCCACCCGCCCCGCCGCCCGUAAUCAGCGUAUUUGCCGCCCUUUGUGAACGUUUUCGAAGCGUCUCCUUCGAACGUUUUGGAACGCCGCCGUGGAAGAAGGGCAGGUGGUCUGUGGCAGGUGGUCUGUCAUGUAUCUGUUUUCCAAGAGAAGAAACUGAGCCGCGGAGAGUAAAGGUGACUUGUCCAAGGUCACAUACCAAGAAAGGGGCAUGAGCAGGAUUGGAACCCAAGUUCUGACUCCAGAACUUGGAGAACACAGAGAUGUUGGGUGAAUCGCUGAAUCUCUAGGACUUCCUCCCCACCCGCGAUCCCAGAUGAGAAAGUUGGGACCCGGAAAAAAGUGAUCUGACUCCCAAUCUAGUGCUCUCCACACCACAUCUUGUGAGGUGAUCUCUACCCAGACAUAGCUACAGACCCAAAGAAUCCAGUGAAGGCCCUGGAUCCCUCAGCAUUGUCCCACACGAAUCCAGCCAAAGGCCUAGAGCCCACAGCAAUGUCUCCUGCAAGUCCAUACCACCAGAAAGGACCAAUGGAAGUGGACGCUAGAAAGUCUGCGACAACUUGGUGAAGGAUCUGUGCCAGAAGGCUGAAAGAUCUGCACUGGAGCCAGGAAACAACGCUCAAGACAAAGGGGAAGACCAGAGCUCCCCAGAAGAGAGCAGCAGCCAUUCCCAGCCGACAGAACAGCCAAGUUCAUAUCAGGAAAAUAAGCCACAACAAAGUUCCUCCUCGGAAAUCAGCAGCAUGCAGGCUUUCCCUCAAGUUCUCCUUUUAUGUCGUUCAGACAACAAUCCUCAGAUGAAUCAAAGGCCUCAUCAAGUACCAAGUACCCAAGGCUACAAAGUUAGAAAGUUGGAGUCACCCAGUUCAUUCUAACCCCAAAGCCCUACCAUGUGUAUCACAAGCAUGAGAAGAUGCGAGAGCAUCAUUGUCUGAUAGAAGAUUGAGCCAAGAUUGGCACCAUCAAGACUAUACCCAGACUACUCACAAGCACUGAUAUAGAAUCAGCCUAGGUACCCAUCAACAAAUAAAUGGCUAUGGAACAUCACACACACACACACACACACACAUUCAGCCAUUAAGAAUGGAAUCCUGUCAUUUGCAGCAAAAUCUUAAGGACAUUAAAUGAGAAAAAAAAGACACAAAAAGCCAAGUACCACAUGUUCUCUCACACAUGUGAAUGCUAAAAAGAGUUAACCUGAAAGUAGAAUAGUGAUUACUAGGGCUUGAGAAGGGAGCAGGGGCCAGAGUGGUGGAAAAAAAGAUAGUUAAAUGUGAUAAAUAUACGCUCUAUGCAAGAAUGGAAAUAUCACAUUGGCUCUCAUUAAUAUGUACAAUUAGUGUGAAUUAAUUUUUUUUUUAAAAAAGGCUACAGCCAGGCUGGAAGUGUAGCUCAGUGAUACAGUGUAUGUAUAGCAUGUGUGAGGCACUGGUUCAAUCCCCAGAACAAUAACAACAAUAAUAACAAGAAAAAACAAAACACAGCCACCAAAGAGUAUGUAUGAGUAUCCUGAGCACUCUGAAAGAGUGUUAGAGUUUGUUGAGAUUUCUUCUCAUUGUGAUUCAGGGAUUCUUGUGAUUACACUGGCAAGGACUCCAGUUGAAGGCAUGGUUAUUCUUACCCACACCUCCUUAAUGAUCCUCAAACUAUGCAGAUGGUAAGCAGAAGCCAAGGAGGCAUUUACAGGCACCUGAAUAGAAAGUGCUCUAGGAAUCCAGGGAACUAACCUAACUCUGGGUGGAGAAUAGCCUCCCACUAUAAUUCUGUUGGUUUGAAAGCUUUCUCACCCAAACAGUCCCUGUGAGUGGGUAGAGAGAGUGAGGAAGCAUCUCUGGGGUUUUCCUGCCAGUUGUCUUGUCACUCAAUUGUUCAGCACUGCUCAGAAUACAGAAUUAAGGUUUUUCUUGAUCUUUCAGCAAACGGAAAUUCUCAGCUGCAACUCAAAAAUUUCUCCAAAGGCUUUAACUCAUAAAAGAUUGCACCAGAGAAAUAGCUUCUCUGACAGACAAUCACACAUAAAUGGAAAUAGGGAGGUAUAACAUGAUAAUUAAGGGUGUAGGCUCUGGAACCAAGCCAUCUGGGUUUGCAUCUUAGCUCUGCCACUUGGUAAUUCUAUGAUCUUGGGCAAGUUACUUCAUUUCUCCAUGCCUCAGUUCCAUGAUCUACUCAGUUUCACUUUUUUCUAUUUCAUGGGGUUGUUGUAAGUAUAAAAUAUAUAUAUAUAUAUAUAUAUAUAUAUAUAUAUAAAGUGCUUAGAACUCUGUUUAGUGUGUUACAAGUACUCAAUAAGUAAUUGGCUAUUAAUAGCUGUGGCAUAGUAACAAUAUUAGUUAUUGUUAGUGGGAGUUGUCAUUAACUGUACUUACAUGCUAGGUUAAAAUCUUUGCAUGUAGUGCUCAAUAUACUUGGGUUUUGUAGUACCCAAAAACCUAAUGGAGAAAUUGUUAAUAUUAUCUUCUUUUUAUAGAAGAGAAACCAGAUUUGGAAAAGUUAAGUAAAUUUCCCAAGGUUACACAGUUAGUGGGCAGCAGGUCUGGGACCAGAUCUGUCUUACUUUACAGCCUAUACUCUGAAUCAAAACCCAAAGAGUUAGCAGUCAAAAGAGCUCAUCUAGGCUGACUGCCUACUACAGAAGCCUGCAGGAGGGCAACCUGGUGCCUGGCAGGGGCAGCCAAGCUGCUGAGAGGAAAAUUAUGACAAAUAGCCAGGUAGGUCAAAGGGAAGGGCAGGAGGUUACAGCCAAGAGUCUGGGAACUCGAGAAUGACAUCUGUUAAGCUAAGAAUCAUGAGAGAUAAAGCAAGGAACUAGGUACAUGGAAGAAUUAGAGUGAGUCAAAUGGAAC